rnacentral:rRNA from 1 species
UGGGGAAUAUUGGACAAUGGGCGCAAGCCUGAUCCAGCCAUGCCGCGUGAGUGAUGAAGGCCCUAGGGUUGUAAAGCUCUUUCACCGGUGAAGAUAAUGACGGUAACCGGAGAAGAAGCCCCGGCUAACUUCGUGCCAGCAGCCGCGGUAAUACGAAGGGGGCUAGCGUUGUUCGGAUUUACUGGGCGUAAAGCGCACGUAGGCGGACUUUUAAGUCAGAGGUGAAAUCCCGGGGCUCAACCCCGGAACUGCCUUUGAUACUGGAAGUCUUGAGUAUGGUAGAGGUGAGUGGAAUUCCGAGUGUAGAGGUGAAANUCCGUAGAUAUUCGGAGGAACACCAGUGGCGAAGGCGGCUCACUGGACCAUUACUGACGCUGAGGUGCGAAAAGCGUGGGGAGCAAAACAGGAUUAGAUACCCUGGUAGUCCACGCCGUAAACGAUGAAUGUUAGCCGUUGGGGAGUUUACUCUUCGGUGGCGCAGCUAACGCAUUAAACAUUCCGCCUGGGGAGUACGGUCGCAAGAUUAAAACUCAAAUGAAUUGACGGGGUCAU